rnacentral:rRNA from 3 species
UACGGAGGGUGCAAGCGUUAUCCGGAAUCACUGGGUUUAAAGGGUGCGUAGGUGGCAUCGUAAGUCAGAAGUGAAAGUUUGCGGCUUAACCGUAAAAUUGCUUUUGAUACUGCAAUGCUUGAAUCAGGUUGAGGUUGGCGGAAUGUGGCAUGUAGCGGUGAAAUGCUUAGAUAUGCCAUAGAACACCGAUUGCGAAGGCAGCUGACUGGACCUGUAUUGACGCUGAGGCACGAAAGCGUGGGGAGCGAACAGG